GCCCCGGUAGCUUAGUGGGAGAGCGCCGCCGUGGUAAGGCGGGGGUCGCAGAGCGCCCGAAACCCGGGUUCGAUUCCCGGCCGGGGCUCCA
rnacentral:tRNA from 1 species